UACGGAGGGGGCUAGCGUUGUUCGGAAUUACUGGGCGUAAAGCGCACGUAGGCGGACCAGCAAGUUAGGGGUGAAAUCCCGGGGCUCAACCCCGGAACUGCCUUUAAAACUGUUGGUCUGGAGGUCGAGAGAGGUGAGUGGAAUUCCGAGUGUAGAGGUGAAAUUCGUAGAUAUUCGGAGGAACACCAGUGGCGAAGGCGGCUCACUGGCUCGGAUACUGACGCUGAGGUGCGAAAGCGUGGGGGAGCAAACAGG
rnacentral:rRNA from 1 species